AUGGCCGAGAGGGAGGGAGCGGUGGUGAAGAAGGGGCACGAGGAGGGCCUGAAGCUGGCGGCUUCGCUGCUGGAGGAGUUCGGGCUGCCCCUGGGCCUGCUGCCGCUGGCGGACGUGAUCGAGGUCGGCUUCGUGCGCGCCACCGGCUACAUGUGGAUCGCGCAGCAGAAGAAGGUGGAGCACCGCUUCAAGAUGGUGAGCAAGCAGGUGAGCUACGACGUGGAGAUCACCGGCUACGUCAAGACCAAGUGCAUCAAGAAGCUCAAGGGCGUCAAGGCCAAGGAGCUCAUGCUGUGGCCGCCCGUCAACGAGAUCACCGUCGACGACCCGCCCACCGGCAAGAUCGUCUUUAGGAGCCUCGCCGGCGUCACCAAGACCUUCCCCGUCGAGGCCUUCGCCGCGGGCCAGUAG
rnacentral:rRNA from 1 species